rnacentral:rRNA from 1 species
UACGAAGGGGCUAGCGUUGCUCGGAAUUACUGGGCGUAAAGCGCACGUAGGCGGAUUGUUAAGUCAGGGGUGAAAUCCUGGAGCUCAACUCCAGAACUGCCUUUGAUACUGAAGAUCUUGAGUUCGGGAGAGGUGAGUGGAACUGCGAGUGUAGAGGUGAAAUUCGUAGAUAUUCGCAAGAACACCAGUGGCGAAGGCGGCUCACUGGCCCGAUACUGACGCUGAGGCACGAAAGCGUGGGGAGCAAACAGGG